AUGCACGCUGGCGGCGUGCCUCAUACAUGCAAGUCGCGCGCACAGACGAGGAGCUUGCUCCUCUGACGUUAGCGGCGGCCGGGUGAGUAACACGUGGAUAACCUACCUAUAAGACUGGGAUAACUUCGGGAAACCGGAGCUAAUACCGGAUAAUAUAUUGAACCGCAUGGUUCAAUAGUGAAAGACGGUUUUGCUGUCACUUAUAGAUGGAUCCGCGCCGCAUUAGCUAGUUGGUAAGGUAACGGCUUACCAAGGCAACGAUGCGUAGCCGACCUGAGAGGGUGAUCGGCCACACUGGAACUGAGACACGGUCCAGACUCCUACGGGAGGCAGCAGUAGGGAAUCUUCCGCAAUGGGCGAAAGCCUGACGGAGCAACGCCGCGUGAGUGAUGAAGGUCUUCGGAUCGUAAAACUCUGUUAUUAGGGAAGAACAAAUGUGUAAGUAACUAUGCACGUCUUGACGGUACCUAAUCAGAAAGCCACGGCUAACUACGUG
rnacentral:rRNA from 1 species